UGGCUCUGGCAUCGAUGAAGAACGCAGCGAAAUGCGAUAAGUAGUGUGAAUUGCAGAAUUCAGUGAAUCAUCGAAUCUUUGAACGCACAUUGCGCCCCUUGGUAUUCCAUGGGGCAUGCCUGUUCGAGCGUCAUCUACACCCUCAAGCUCUGCUUGGUGUUGGGCGUCUGUCCCUGCGGACUCGCCCCAAAUUCAUUGGCAGCGGUCUUUGCCUCCUCUCGCGCAGCACAAUUGCGUUGAAGGGGGCGUGGGCCGUAUCCACAAAGCAGUAUAACCGUCUUUGACCUCGGAUCAGGUAGGGAUACCCGCUGA
rnacentral:misc_RNA from 1 species